CCUGAUUAUACCUGUUUAUCUCUUUGUUUCCUGUUAUCUUUUGUGGGGGUCCUUGUUUGGUCAUCUGCAUGUGACUCCGAUCUACUUGUGCUUGAUGUUGUGUUGGCUCAAUAGUCUAUCUGGGGGCUUAAGACACAGAGGAGGCAGAUGUAUAGAUAAUACAUCAAUUUAUAUCUACACUUGUGCUUCGUGUGCUCCUAGACCAUCACUCGUCUCAAACAGGACGUUAUGUGCCUCCAGCUAAUCAAAAAAGGAUGUUCCACUCUUAGCUCUGAAUCUUUCCUUCCUAUAUGUGGGUAGUUUGUAAUGAUGUGCACCGCCACUGAGUACCAUGUUGUGUUCUUGCUAGGAAUCUGAAGAUAGUGGAGCUCCUUUGGACGCUAACAAGGGGACAAGAGAGCAGGCACUGGCCGUGCUCGACGGCGUCCUGUAUGCAGACACGGGCAUCAACGAUCUUAGUCCACAGCCCACAUGAUUAGCCAUCUUUACUACAUGAGUGAAAAAUUCUUGAGCCAUCCCCAUAAGUGAUCACAUAUGUGAGUCCAUUGUAAUAUUACACUCAUCAACAACCGAAAUGAAAUUACAUUCUAUA